rnacentral:misc_RNA from 1 species
UUAAGUUCAGCGGGUAUCCCUACCUGAUCCGAGGUCAAAGACGGUAAAUAGCUUAUGGACGCGCCCACGGCACCCCAAUGAACGCAUUGUACUGCGCGUUGAGGUGCCAGAGACCGCUGCCAAUGACUUUGGGGCGAGUCCACGCGCGAAGGCGGGACAGACGCCCAACACCAAGCAGUGCUUGAGGGUGUAGAUGACGC